GCGUUGGUGGCCCUGUUUCCCCUAGCAGAGACUUCCUCCAAGGACCACUGUCCCAUGGGAGCCAAGUGAAGCUCUGCUCUCAGGACUGUGAAGUGCCAGCCAGAAUAACCAUCAGCAUGCAGGUGUUAUACAGACUGUCUUCUUUCCUCUGUCCCCAGGGAACAAGUACCUGGCCAGUGCUGAGUCUGCAGUGGCUGUGGUUUGAGUGAUGGAUGGCCUUAGACUGAGCUGUAAAAUAAUGAACGACUACACUGUUGCUGUAAAAACCGUAUUGCCAGUUCAUGGUCUCCUCAUGCUCAUGCUUGACAGGUUUCUAGUCCAGGUGGAGACCCUCUUUGAGGCCAUGAGGUGAAAUUAAGGAAUCAGCCCCAUGGCCUGAUGCAGAAGCACUUGGACUGGUGGCUUGCGGCAGUGUGACAGCACCAGAGACAUCCUGGCUGGCCAGAGUUUUGUUACAAGCUGGCACCGAGGCGUGUUUGUCCCCAGCAAGAGAACAAGUAGGACCUGGGCUCUGUAGCAACAGAUGCUUUAGGUGGGAGGGAGCCCAAGACUUUGGCACAUAGCAGGAGGGUUUUGGGCGCUCGUCCUCAGCUGCAGGAGAGGAGGAGGGGGGUUGCAGAGGGGAAGGCUUGGCAGCAGACGGGAGGGAGAGAUUCUCUCCCUCACAGGCUGGGAAAGAGGGCUUAAGCAUCAGGUUGCCUGGCAAUGGGUUUCUAGGCAUCAGAAAUUGCUCUGAUCUGUUCACAUAGUGCGCUAGCUCAGAACAAAGCCCAUCUCUGUCCCUUUAAAGAUGGGGAGGAGCUGCAGGAUCGAGAUAUAUCACCUGGCAACAGGAUGCUGCCUCUCCUCCCUCUCCUCUGCACCAGAAGCUACCCUGGUGAAGCUUGCGCCGUGCAAGAAGGAGCAGCGGGAUGCCAGGAAGCCGAAGUGGCGAAUCAUCGCUUUCAAACAGCACUAAUGGGAGAGCAGGGGAGAGCUUGUUUGCGUUCAGACAACGGGAGCUAAUUUCCAGUGGCGGCAAGCGCCUGUCAGCCUCGCAGAAAUGUUCAGCCUGUUUGGAAAUGGUGAGAUAAUCCCCACAGCAUCCCAGUGCGGAGAGAAAGAAGGGCAGGAUUAGACCUUUAUCUGUGCCAUAGCAGCAGGAUAUGGCCUCCAAAGAGCUUUCACCUCUGUCAACUAACCCCUAGCUAUGGUGUGGGAUCCAAAAGCCCUGUUUUCAAGCCUACGUUUGAAUGAAGUAAGGGGGGGGGAGGUUUCUAGCCCUACUGGGGCAAGUCCAUGGAGGGAUGAGAUCAGCUUGUGAGGGAUGAGCAACCACUUUGCGUGGCAAAUGGCAGGUUCAGAGGUGGAAGGAAGGAAAUGGGAGAGAGGGGCAGGAGGUGGAGACACCAGGCACAGAUGCCCAGCUACACUCAGGUAGGAUGCAGACCUUAAAAGCUGAUGAUACCUUUACCACCCCCUUGCAGAUGUCCUGAAUAAUCCAAAUACCAGCAGUGGCACUGGGCACCAGUGUUCCAGCAGCUGGAUGAAGCCCACCUUGCUUGAGACCACACUGAAACAGAACACGACAAAGAUCCUGUGUCUCCUGAAUGCAUAUUAAUGCAGCCAUUAAGGGUUGCAUAGUCAAAAGACUGGGCAAAUUUAUGGGCAGAAACAUCCAUCCAGGACUGCUGAAUGUAAAAGCUCUUUCUCAGAAAGUCUGUGAAUUAUAGUUCACUGGGGGCUGAACAACUGUUUUGGAAAGAAUCAUUCCACACUUACAUUUUCUUUUUACAUUGUCUCUUGACACCUGCUGCUGGCCACACUUGGCAGCAGGGCACUGAGCUGGAGCGACCUUCUGUUUGACCUGCGAUAGCCAUCCUUAUCCUUUAAGUCCCAUCAUCUCUCUAAUUGCUGCAUCAUUAAUAUAAGCAAUGUCUCUUCUGAUAAUUUGCUUCUACCCACACCUCCCAUCCAUGUAGCAAAGCAUGGGAUCUGCAAGCUUUGCCAUCAGCCUGUACAAGUC
rnacentral:lncRNA from 1 species